GGGUUGUGAGGUUAAGCGACUAAGCGUACACGGUGGAUGCCCUGGCAGUCAGAGGCGAUGAAGGACGUGCUAAUCUGCGAUAAGCGUCGGUAAGGUGAUAUGAACCGUUAUAACCGGCGAUUUCCGAAUGGGGAAACCCAGUGUGUUUCGACACACUAUCAUUAACUGAAUCCAUAGGUUAAUGAGGCGAACCGGGGGAACUGAAACAUCUAAGUACCCCGAGGAAAAGAAAUCAACCGAGAUUCCCCCAGUAGCGGCGAGCGAACGGGGAGCAGCCCAGAGCCUGAAUCAGUGUGUGUGUUAGUGGAAGCGUCUGGAAAGGCGCGCGAUACAGGGUGACAGCCCCGUACACAAAAAUGCACAUGCUGUGAGCUCGAUGAGUAGGGCGGGACACGUGGUAUCCUGUCUGAAUAUGGGGGGACCAUCCUCCAAGGCUAAAUACUCCUGACUGACCGAUAGUGAACCAGUACCGUGAGGGAAAGGCGAAAAGAACCCCGGCGAGGGGAGUGAAAAAGAACCUGAAACCGUGUACGUACAAGCAGUGGGAGCACGCUUAGGCGUGUGACUGCGUACCUUUUGUAUAAUGGGUCAGCGACUUAUAUUCUGUAGCAAGGUUAACCGAAUAGGGGAGCCGAAGGGAAACCGAGUCUUAACUGGGCGUUAAGUUGCAGGGUAUAGACCCGAAACCCGGUGAUCUAGCCAUGGGCAGGUUGAAGGUUGGGUAACACUAACUGGAGGACCGAACCGACUAAUGUUGAAAAAUUAGCGGAUGACUUGUGGCUGGGGGUGAAAGGCCAAUCAAACCGGGAGAUAGCUGGUUCUCCCCGAAAGCUAUUUAGGUAGCGCCUCGUGAAUUCAUCUCCGGGGGUAGAGCACUGUUUCGGCAAGGGGGUCAUCCCGACUUACCAACCCGAUGCAAACUGCGAAUACCGGAGAAUGUUAUCACGGGAGACACACGGCGGGUGCUAACGUCCGUCGUGAAGAGGGAAACAACCCAGACCGCCAGCUAAGGUCCCAAAGUCAUGGUUAAGUGGGAAACGAUGUGGGAAGGCCCAGACAGCCAGGAUGUUGGCUUAGAAGCAGCCAUCAUUUAAAGAAAGCGUAAUAGCUCACUGGUCGAGUCGGCCUGCGCGGAAGAUGUAACGGGGCUAAACCAUGCACCGAAGCUGCGGCAGCGACGCUUAUGCGUUGUUGGGUAGGGGAGCGUUCUGUAAGCCUGUGAAGGUGUGCUGUGAGGCAUGCUGGAGGUAUCAGAAGUGCGAAUGCUGACAUAAGUAACGAUAAAGCGGGUGAAAAGCCCGCUCGCCGGAAGACCAAGGGUUCCUGUCCAACGUUAAUCGGGGCAGGGUGAGUCGACCCCUAAGGCGAGGCCGAAAGGCGUAGUCGAUGGGAAACAGGUUAAUAUUCCUGUACUUGGUGUUACUGCGAAGGGGGGACGGAGAAGGCUAUGUUGGCCGGGCGACGGUUGUCCCGGUUUAAGCGUGUAGGCUGGUUUUCCAGGCAAAUCCGGAAAAUCAAGGCUGAGGCGUGAUGACGAGGCACUACGGUGCUGAAGCAACAAAUGCCCUGCUUCCAGGAAAAGCCUCUAAGCAUCAGGUAACAUCAAAUCGUACCCCAAACCGACACAGGUGGUCAGGUAGAGAAUACCAAGGCGCUUGAGAGAACUCGGGUGAAGGAACUAGGCAAAAUGGUGCCGUAACUUCGGGAGAAGGCACGCUGAUAUGUAGGUGAAGUCCCUCGCGGAUGGUGCUGAAAUCAGUCGAAGAUACCAGCUGGCUGCAACUGUUUAUUAAAAACACAGCACUGUGCAAACACGAAAGUGGACGUAUACGGUGUGACGCCUGCCCGGUGCCGGAAGGUUAAUUGAUGGGGUUAGCCGCAAGGCGAAGCUCUUGAUCGAAGCCCCGGUAAACGGCGGCCGUAACUAUAACGGUCCUAAGGUAGCGAAAUUCCUUGUCGGGUAAGUUCCGACCUGCACGAAUGGCGUAAUGAUGGCCAGGCUGUCUCCACCCGAGACUCAGUGAAAUUGAACUCGCUGUGAAGAUGCAGUGUACCCGCGGCAAGACGGAAAGACCCCGUGAACCUUUACUAUAGCUUGACACUGAACAUUGAGCCUUGAUGUGUAGGAUAGGUGGGAGGCUUAGAAGUGUGGACGCCAGUCUGCAUGGAGCCGACCUUGAAAUACCACCCUUUAAUGUUUGAUGUUCUAACGUUGACCCGUAAUCCGGGUUGCGGACAGUGUCUGGUGGGUAGUUUGACUGGGGCGGUCUCCUCCUAAAGAGUAACGGAGGAGCACGAAGGUUGGCUAAUCCUGGUCGGACAUCAGGAGGUUAGUGCAAUGGCAUAAGCCAGCUUGACUGCGAGCGUGACGGCGCGAGCAGGUGCGAAAGCAGGUCAUAGUGAUCCGGUGGUUCUGAAUGGAAGGGCCAUCGCUCAACGGAUAAAAGGUACUCCGGGGAUAACAGGCUGAUACCGCCCAAGAGUUCAUAUCGACGGCGGUGUUUGGCACCUCGAUGUCGGCUCAUCACAUCCUGGGGCUGAAGUAGGUCCCAAGGGUAUGGCUGUUCGCCAUUUAAAGUGGUACGCGAGCUGGGUUUAGAACGUCGUGAGACAGUUCGGUCCCUAUCUGCCGUGGGCGCUGGAGAACUGAGGGGGGCUGCUCCUAGUACGAGAGGACCGGAGUGGACGCAUCACUGGUGUUCGGGUUGUCAUGCCAAUGGCACUGCCCGGUAGCUAAAUGCGGAAGAGAUAAGUGCUGAAAGCAUCUAAGCACGAAACUUGCCCCGAGAUGAGUUCUCCCUGACCCUUUAAGGGUCCUGAAGGAACGUUGAAGACGACGACGUUGAUAGGCCGGGUGUGUAAGCGCAGCGAUGCGUUGAGCUAACCGGUACUAAUGAACCGUGAGGCUUAACCUUACAACGCCGAAGCUGUU
rnacentral:rRNA from 1 species